AACGAACGCUGGCGGCAUGCCUAACACAUGCAAGUCGAACGAGACCUUCGGGUCUAGUGGCGCACGGGUGCGUAACGCGUGGGAACCUGCCCUUAGGUUCGGAAUAACUCCCCGAAAGGGGUGCUAAUACCGGAUAAUGUCUUCGGACCAAAGAUUUAUCGCCUUUGGAUGGGCCCGCGUUGGAUUAGCUAGUUGGUAGGGUAAAAGCCUACCAAGGCGACGAUCCAUAGCUGGUCUGAGAGGAUGAUCAGCCACACUAGGACUGAGACACGGCCCAGACUCCUACGGGAGGCAGCAGUGGGGAAUAUUGGACAAUGGGCGAAAGCCUGAUCCAGCAAUGCCGCGUGAGUGAUGAAGGCCUUAGGGUUGUAAAGCUCUUUUACCCGGGAUGAUAAUGACAGUACCGGGAGAAUAAGCUCCGGCUAACUCCGU
rnacentral:rRNA from 1 species